GUGACUGGUGUCCUUCUAGGAAGAGGCGGUGAGGACCCAGAUGCAGAGAGACAGACACUGUGGGCAGAAGGACGAGCCCACGAAAAGGCAAGAGCAGGCGGCAGCAGCAGGCCAAGGACAGAGGCUCAGGGGAGCCCGCCUGCCAGCACCGUGACCUUGGACUCCCAGCCUCCAGAACUGCGAGAAAUACAGGUUUCUGUUGUUCAUCCACCGCCCAGUCUCUGGUGUACGUCUAUGGAGCCCGAGCGAACCAGCACAGACGGCUUUCAGGGCCGAGCCUAAGUCACACUCCUGGUCCUGGGGCUCCUGUGCUGUGCCCAGGUCACGUCCAGCGUGGUCCCCACCACGCCAUCCAGCCGCUGUAUUUGUGGGCUGCUCUCAGCCAAUGAGGAAAUCAGCACAAGAACAUCACCUGUCUGCCUCACUCACUGUGUGUCUCCACCAGCGAGGUCUUCAGAAAGUCAAACCUGAAUAUCAGUAAGACUCACGAUGCAACUUCCAAAUUACAGGAGAUACAGGGGACAGGGGAACCCGUCCGGCGACACCGUAAGGAGGAAGUAAGAUUCAGAACACUGGAAACGCUACAGGACAACUAAUCCGGUUUCUUUAGCAAAUUAAAAGGCAAUAAAAACAACAGGUGGGAAGGAGAUUGCAGAUUAAGUGAGACUUAACAGACCUGUCAACCAGUCACAAGAUACGACCUCACCUGGAUCCUACUUCAAGCAAAGUAUUAAAAAUGAGGUCAAGUCUUUCUGGCUGUGUGUGCGCAUGUGCCUGUGCGUAACCUUGAACUUGUCCCAUUGCGACAGUUAAAAGCCAAAGCAUCACAGGCAUCAGAAUCACCUGCGGCCUUGCAGUCCCAGCGCCCUGCCCCUGCCCGCCCAGCCUGCUGACUUGCUGGAUCUCCAAGUGAAUGGAGAAGCCUGGGCUGGAGGUCCUGGGCGGACAACGGAAAGCGUGUGUGCACCUGCCGACUGGCCGGGAAGGGACAGGACCAGACCCCGGGGAACAGAAGCCAAGGUAGUGGCAUGUUUCAAGAGACACCCACCCCUGCCCGGACUCAGCCGGACGUCACCCUGGUGUGGGGGACCCUAGACCCUGCAAACCAAAUCUCCCCGCAGGAAAGACCGGGGCCCUUGGUGUGGCUGUCACCCUACUGUCCUGCAUUUAAGGUCAGCAAUCUUGAGAGAAAAUAAAGACAACGGGAUUCAAUUAACCUGAAAGAAUGCAUCAAGGCAAAUACAACAAUGAGUCAUUAAAUAACA